rnacentral:rRNA from 1 species
AGCGGCGGACGGGUGAGUAACGCGUGGGUAACCUGCUCAUACAGGGGGAUAACAGUUAGAAAUGACUGCUAAUACCGCAUAAGACCACAGCACCGCAUGGUGCGGGGGUAAAAACUCCGGUGGUAUGAGAUGGACCCGCGUCUGAUUAGCUAGUUGGUAAGGUAACGGCUUACCAAGGCGACGAUCAGUAGCCGACCUGAGAGGGUGACCGGCCACAUUGGGACUGAGACACGGCCCAA